GUGGCUGGACUCAGACACAUCACGCUCCAGUUUGGGUUCCAAGGUGCUUCUCUCUGGAUUUUCACCUGCCUUGCCAAAAAUGAUUGAUUACGCCGGGCCGACUGGGUGUCCGGCAAUACCCAACAAAUGACUUUGGCCCCUAACAGCAGGCCUUGGCCAGAUAGAAAUCAAUAUUUCACCAUUAAAAUCUAUCAAAGAAGAGUUAAGGCACCAUCUGUCCCUGCCGCCUCUCUAUGUAACUGAGUCUCGGAAAGAAUAAAAUCUGACCUGGAUUGAGAAUCUUACUUCCUGAUUUCCAAGUUACAACACUGUACUGAAAGACCGAAAGAAAAUGGGAAUCCUGGGACCACUCCAUGACAGUCCUUCAAAGGUCAAACUUGGAUUCAGUAAAGACAUCCUGGCAGAGAGAGCUACAUGAUUUCAAAAUAAAGGAUCCAAGGCUUAUUAUGUGCCACCUGUGUCCCCAGUGCUCCAUGUGUUUUACCCUCAGGACGACCCGCAAAGCGGGCUCCUCGCCCCUUGCAGGUGGGGCCGGAGCGUCCAGAUGUGGCCCUCCAGAUGAUCCGCUCUUCACUGCCGUCCCUACAGGGAAGUUCACCGCCGAGAGGCAACCACACUACAACGUCCCUAUGUGAGUGUAAGCUGAGUGGGGCCCAGGCGAUCGUCGCUAAGGCUUCCUGGAGGAGACCAUCCCUGAGCUGAGCAGAAUGGAGACCUGGGGGGGGGGGGGCAGAGUUUCUGCCCUUCAGUGGGGGGAGGGCAGGGAUGGAGAGGUGAGCAGGGACGGGUCCGCCUGUGUCUCUGUCUCUCUCUCUCUCUCUUUUCCAUGAGUAAAUAAAAAUUAAAAAAAAAAAAAACAACAACAAACACACCAUUGCCGUCCCCAGUGAUGC
rnacentral:lncRNA from 1 species